UGAAAAUUAAAAUAAAAAAAUUCUCAAGACUGAUGUCGUUGGCUGAGAACUCCAUUUAUUCUUUUUAGCUCUUCAAGGGCUAGCGUUAGGAGGACAAGGCUUGCGGAUGUAAGCGCUGCAAGGAGGACUUUUAGAAGGAAUACAAUAUGGUUUGCCACGGCCGCAUUCAAAUGGAGGAAGUUUUGGGUUGCCGGUGCCAAAAGCAGCUAAUUGUCGAGCAGAAGUUGAAGAGAGAGAAAAGAGAAUGGCAACCAAGAGAAUGUAUAUUAUCAAAGAG
rnacentral:lncRNA from 1 species